rnacentral:rRNA from 1 species
UAAAGAUUCAUCGGCUGCGGAUGGCCAUGCGGCGCAUUAGCUAGUCGGCGGGGUAACGGCCCACCGAGGCGACGAUGCGUAGGGGUUCUGAGAGGAAGGUCCCCCACACUGGUACUGAGACACGGACCAGACUCCUACGGGAGGCAGCAGUGAGGAAUAUUGGUCAAUGGCCGGGAGGCUGAACCAGCCAAGUCGCGUGAGGGAAGACGGCCCUACGGGUUGUAAACCUCUUUUGUCAGGGAGCAAGAGGCGGGUCGGGACCUGCUGUGAGAGUACCUGAAGAAAAAGCAUCGGCUAACUCCGUGCCAGCAGCCGCGGUAAUACGGAGGAUGCGAGCGUUAUCCGGAUUUAUUGGGUUUAAAGGGUGCGCAGGCGGAGGCACAAGUCAGCGGUAAAAUCGCGGGGCUCAACCCCGCUCCGCCGUUGAAACUGUGUCCCUUGAGUGCGCGAAGGGUAGGCGGAAUGCGUGGUGUAGCAGUGAAAUGCAUAGAUAUCACGCAGAACUCCGAUCGCGAAGGCAGCCUACCGGCGCGCAACUGACGCUCAUGCACGAAAGCGUGGGUAUCGAACAGGAUUAGAUACCCUGGUAGUCCACGCAGUAAACGAUGAAUGCUAUCUGUCCGGCCGGAAUGACGGCUGG